GACGAACGCUGGCGGCGUGCUUAACACAUGCGAGUCGAACGGAAAGGCCCUGCUUGCAGGAUACUCGAGUGGCGAACGGGUGAGUAACACGUGGGUGAUCUGCCCUGCACUUCGGGAUAAGCCUGGGAAACUGGGUCUAAUACCGGAUAGGAGCCAUUUUUAGUGUGAUGGUUGGAAAGUUUUUUCGGUGUAGGAUGAGCUCGCGGCCUAUCAGCUUGUUGGUGGGGUAAUGGCCUACCAAGGCGGCGACGGGUAGCCGGCCUGAGAGGGUGGACGGCCACAUUGGGACUGAGAUACGGCCCAGACUCCUACGGGAGGCAGCAGUGGGGAAUAUUGCACAAUGGGCGCAAGCCUGAUGCAGCGACGCCGCGUGGGGGAUGACGGCCUUCGGGUUGUAAACUCCUUUCGCUAGGGACGAAGCUUUUUGUGACGGUACCUAGAUAAGAAGCACCGGCUAACUACGUG
rnacentral:rRNA from 1 species